UACCUGAUGCUUAAACAGGGGGCUCUUACA
rnacentral:piRNA from 1 species